CAAAUUAAAGCUAAAAAGAAAGCAUUUUAUUUACAUUAAAAAGUUGACUGUGAAAUUCAGUUUAAUUUGA
rnacentral:tRNA from 1 species